rnacentral:rRNA from 1 species
GCCCACCAAGGCGACGAUCAGUAGCCGGUCUGAGAGGAUGAACGGCCACACUGGGACUGAGACACGGCCCAGACUCCUACGGGAGGCAGCAGUGGGGAAUCUUCCGCAAUGGACGAAAGUCUGACGGAGCAACGCCGCGUGAGUGAUGAAGGAUUUCGGUCUGUAAAGCUCUGUUGUUUAUGACGAACGUGCAGUGUGUGAACAAUGCAUUGCAAUGACGGUAGUAAACGAGGAAGCCACGGCUAACUACGUGCCAGCAGCCGCGGUAAUACGUAGGUGGCGAGCGUUAUCCGGAAUUAUUGGGCGUAAAGAGGGAGCAGGCGGCACUAAGGGUCUGUGGUGAAAGAUCGAAGCUUAACUUCGGUAAGCCAUGGAAACCGUAGAGCUAGAGUGUGUGAGAGGAUCGUGGAAUUCCAUGUGUAGCGGUGAAAUGCGUAGAUAUAUGGAGGAACACCAGUGGCGAAGGCGACGAUCUGGCGCAUAACUGACGCUCAGUCCCGAAAGCGUGGGGAGCAAAUAGGAUUAGAUACCCUAGUAGUCCACGCCGUAAACGAUGAGUACUAAGUGUUGGGAGUCAAAUCUCAGUGCUGCAGUUAACGCAAUAAGUACUCCGCCUGAGUAGUACGUUCGCAAGAAUGAAACUCAAAGGAAUUGACGGGGGCCCGCACAAGCGGUGGAGCAUGUGGUUUAAUUCGAAGCAACGCGAAGAACCUUACCAAGUCUUGACAUCCCUCUGACCGGUACUUAACCGUUCCUUUCCUUCGGGACAGGGGAGACAGGUGGUGCAUGGUUGUCGUCAGCUCGUGUCGUGAGAUGUUGGGUUAAGUCCCGCAACGAGCGCAACCCCUAUUGUUAGUUGCCAUCAUUCAGUUGGGCACUCUAGCGAGACUGCCGGUAAUAAACCGGAGGAAGGUGGGGAUGACGUCAAAUCAUCAUGCCCCUUAUGACCUGGGCUACACACGUGCUACAAUGGACAGAGCAGAGGGAAGCGAAGCCGCGAGGUGGAGCGAAACCCAUAAAACUGUUCUCAGUUCGGACUGCAGUCUGCAACUCGACUGCACGAAGAUGGAAUCGCUAGUAAUCGCGAAUCAGCAUGUCGCGGUGAAUACGUUCUCGGGCCUUGUACACACCGCCCGUCACACCAUGAGAGUCGGUAACACCCGAAGCCGGUGGCCUAACCGCAAGGAAGGAGCUGUCUAAGGUGGGACUGAUGAUUGGGGUGAAGUCGUAACAAGGUAUCCCUACGGGAACGUGGGGAUG